GAACGAACGCUGGCGGCAUGCCUAACACAUGCAAGUCGAACGAGACCUUCGGGUCUAGUGGCGCACGGGUGCGUAACGCGUGGGAACCUGCCUUUAGGUUCGGAAUAACUCAGAGAAAUUUGAGCUAAUACCGGAUGAUGUCUUCGGACCAAAGAUUUAUCGCCUUUAGAUGGGCCCGCGUAAGAUUAGCUAGUUGGUGGGGUAAAGGCCUACCAAGGCGACGAUCUUUAGCUGGUCUGAGAGGAUGAUCAGCCACACUGGGACUGAGACACGGCCCAGACUCCUACGGGAGGCAGCAGUGGGGAAUAUUGGACAAUGGGCGAAAGCCUGAUCCAGCAAUGCCGCGUGAGUGAUGAAGGCCUUAGGGUUGUAAAGCUCUUUUACCCGAGAUGAUAAUGACAGUAUCGGGAGAAUAAGCUCCGGCUAACUCCGUG
rnacentral:rRNA from 1 species